GACGAACGCUGGCCGCGUGCUUAACUCAUGCAAGUCGAACGGAAAGGCCCUGCUUUUGUGGGGUGCUCGAGUGGCGAACGGGUGAGUAACACGGGAGUAACCUGCCCUUGACUUUGGGAUAACUUCAGGAAACUGGGGCUAAUACCGGAUAGGAGCUCCUGCUGCAUGGUGGGGGUUGGAAAGCUUCGGCGGUUGGGGAUGGACUCGCGGCUUAUCAGCUUGUUGGUGGGGUAGUGGCUUACCAAGGCUUUGACGGGUAGCCCGCCUGAGCGGGUGACCGGCCACAGUGGGCCUGAGAUACGGCCCAGACUCCUACGGGAGGCAGCAGUGGGGAAUAUUGCACAAUGGGCGGAAGCCUGAUGCAGCAACGCCGCGUGCGGGAUGACGGCCUUCGGGUUGUAAACCGCUUUCGCCUGUGACGAAGCGUGAGUGACGGUAAUGGGUAAAGAAGCACGGGCUAACUACGUG
rnacentral:rRNA from 1 species